rnacentral:rRNA from 1 species
CAGAAACUCAAAGGAAGUUGACGGGGGCCCGCACAAGCGGAGGAGCAUGUGGUUUAAUUCGAUGAUACGCGAGGAACCUUACCUGGGCUCGAACGUAAGAUGACUGUAGGUGAAAGCUUACAUCUCUUCGGAGCAUUUUACGAGGUGCUGCAUGGUUGUCGUCAGCUCGUGCCGUGAGGUGUCGGGUUAAGUCCCAUAACGAGCGCAACCCCUACCUUUAGUUGCCAUCAGGUUAAGCUGGGGACUCUAAAGGAACUGCCUACGCAAGUAGUGAGGAAGGCGGGGAUGACGUCAAAUCAGCACGGCCCUUACGUCCAGGGCUACACACGUGCUACAAUGGCCGAUACAGAGGGCAGCUACCUGGUGACAGGAUGCAAAUCUCCAAAGUCGGUCUCAGUUCGGAUCGGAGUCUGCAACCCGACUCCGUGAAGUUGGAUUCGCUAGUAAUCGCGCAUCAGCCAUGGCGCGGUGAAUACGUUCCCGGGCCUU